UACGUAGGGUGCGAGCGUUGUCCGGAAUUAUUGGGCGUAAAGAACUCGUAGGCGGUCUGUCGCGUCUGCUGUGAAAUCCCGAGGCUCAACCUCGGGCUUGCAGUGGGUACGGGCAGGCUAGAGUGCGGUAGGGGAGAAUGGAACUCCUGGUGUAGCGGUGGAAUGCGCAGAUAUCAGGAAGAACACCGAUGGCGAAGGCAGUUCUCUGGGCCGUAACUGACGCUGAGGAGCGAAAGCGUGGGGAGCGAACAGG
rnacentral:rRNA from 1 species